rnacentral:lncRNA from 1 species
CUUCAUUUCUCUGCUUUGACAAAUGCCCACAAUCUGAUCAGCAGAAAGGUUAUAACAUUUGAAAAAGAAAUGCGUUAUUUUGGUUUUUUAAGUACAACAAUUUUCAUUUGGAGAAAUGGUCUAAAGGGUAUUGGUGUUUGGCUGAAUUCAUGGAAUUUUCUCGCUAAUUUGGGAUUUAUUCUCAAUUUCAAGAUCAUUGUGGAUAUUUCAGAAAUUAAUGAAAUAUAU